rnacentral:rRNA from 1 species
AUUGAACGCUGGCGGCAGGCCUAACACAUGCAAGUCGAGCGGAUGAAGGGAGCUUGCUCCUGGAUUCAGCGGCGGACGGGUGAGUAAUGCCUAGGAAUCUGCCUGGUAGUGGGGGAUAACGUCCGGAAACGGGCGCUAAUACCGCAUACGUCCUGAGGGAGAAAGUGGGGGAUCUUCGGACCUCACGCUAUCAGAUGAGCCUAGGUCGGAUUAGCUAGUUGGUGGGGUAAAGGCCUACCAAGGCGACGAUCCGUAACUGGUCUGAGAGGAUGAUCAGUCACACUGGAACUGAGACACGGUCCAGACUCCUACGGGAGGCAGCAGUGGGGAAUAUUGGACAAUGGGCGAAAGCCUGAUCCAGCCAUGCCGCGUGUGUGAAGAAGGUCUUCGGAUUGUAAAGCACGUUAAGUUGGGAGGAAGGGCAGUAAGUUAAUACCUUGCUGCUUUGACGUUACCAACAGAAUAAGCACCGGCUAACUUCGUG